rnacentral:tRNA from 1 species
GCUGGUAUACUUAGCGGUUAGAAUCUGACUGGUGACCGGAAGGUCCUGAGUUCGAAUCUCGCCAGGGGCA